CAGAUUCAAUAAUUCCAAUCCUGAGAUAUGUUUUCCUGCCACUGAUUCUGCUUUUGGAGAACAUUGCCCUUCAUUACUACUAUAAGGUCAUCAAAAAGCAGAAAUCAGACAAAAAGGAGAACGAUGAGACGGAUGUUUCCAGAGAUGAAGAAGUGGAGGCCGAGGAGGAAGCAGUCCAAGAAAUAGAAGAGAAACAUAGAAACAAACACACAAGUCUAAAUUUUUCUGGGAAUUUGUAUUAAAGUUGUUUAAAUCUUGUUUAAUUAUGUUUAUGUUUUUUAAAUGUCUGACACAUUACUGCAGCGACUCUAUUUAACCUGCCUUUACUGUCCAGUAUAAACUCUUAAUAGCAUGACUGUGACUUAAGUUUGAAAAUAAUCCUUCAUCCUCUCCAGUCCUCACUUUCUUACAUCUUCCUCCAUCUCUGCCAGUGAAGUUUUCACACAUUAAGUUUUUUACUUCUCACUAAACUGUAUCUUUGGCUAACAGACAGAAUGUGUGUCAAUCUGCACAUAAACAUGUUUUUAUGUUUGGUGAUAUUUUUGAAAUUCUUUCAAAUUAUCUGCCAC